rnacentral:rRNA from 1 species
GACGAACGCUGGCGGCGUGCUUAACACAUGCAAGUCGAACGGAAAGGCCCUGCUUUUGUGGGGUGCUCGAGUGGCGAACGGGUGAGUAACACGUGAGUAACCUGCCCUUGACUUUGGGAUAACUUCAGGAAACUGGGGCUAAUACCGGAUAGGAGCUCCUGCUGCAUGGUGGGGGUUGGAAAGUUUCGGCGGUUGGGGAUGGACUCGCGGGUUAUCAGCUUGUUGGUGGGGUAGUGGCUUACCAAGGCUUUGACGGGUAGCCGGCCUGAGAGGGUGACCGGACGCAUUGGGACUGAGAUACGGCCCAGACUCCGACGGGAGGCAGCAGUGGAGAAUAUUGCACAAUGGGCGGAAGCCUGAUGCAGCAACGCCGCGUGCGGGAUGACGGCCUUCGGGUUGUAAACCGCUUUCGCCUGUGACGAAGCGUGAGUGACGGUAAUGGGUAAAGAAGCACCGGCUAACUACGUG